UUAAAUUAAUAGAAUAAUAUAUCAUUGAUAGUUUACAUUCAAAUAAUUAAUUUAUUAUAUUGUUUGAUUGAUAUAUUAUUUGUUGAAAUAAUUCAUCAGGUGAUUUAAAAUUUUAUAUGAAAAAUUUACUAUCCCCUGAUUAAGUAUUAUAUAAAUAAUAUGUAAGUUUUUACUUACAAUAUUUUACAUAUUGAAAUAAAAUAAUUAAUCUUUCGUAAUAUAUUAUAUAUUAUAUAUAUAUAUAUAUAUAUAUAUAUAUA
rnacentral:rRNA from 1 species